rnacentral:rRNA from 1 species
ACGCUGGCGGCGUGCUUAACACAUGCAAGUCGAACGGAAAGGCCCUGCUUUUGUGGGGUGCUCGAGUGGCGAACGGGUGAGUAACGCGUGAGUAACCUGCCCUUGACUUUGGGAUAACUUCAGGAAACUGGGGCUAAUACCGGAUAGGAGCUCCUGCUGCAUGGUGGGGGUUGGAAAGUUUCGGCGGUUGGGGAUGGACUCGCGGCUUAUCAGCUUGUUGGUGGGGUAGUGGCUUACCAAGGCUUUGACGGGUAGCCGGCCUGAGAGGGUGACCGGCCACAUUGGGACUGAGAUACGGCCCAGACUCCUACGGGAGGCAGCAGUAGGGAAUAUUGCACAAUGGGCGGAAGCCUGAUGCAGCAACGCCGCGUGCGGGAUGACGGCCUUCGGGUUGUAAACCGCUUUCGCCUGUGACGAAGCGUGAGUGACGGUAAUGGGUAAAGAAGCACCGGCUAACUACGUGCCAGCAGCCGCGGUGAUACGUAGGGUGCGAGCGUUGUCCGGAUUUAUUGGGCGUAAAGGGCUCGUAGGUGGUUGAUCGCGUCGGAAGUGUAAUCUUGGGGCUUAACCCUGAGCGUGCUUUCGAUACGGGUUGACUUGAGGAAGGUAGGGGAGAAUGGAAUUCCUGGUGGAGCGGUGGAAUGCGCAGAUAUCAGGAGGAACACCAGUGGCGAAGGCGGUUCUCUGGGCCUUUCCUGACGCUGAGGAGCGAAAGCGUGGGGAGCGAACAGGCUUAGAUACCCUGGUAGUCCACGCUGUAAACGGUGGGUACUAGGUGUGGGGUCCAUUCCACGGGUUCCGUGCCGUAGCUAACGCUUUAAGUACCCCGCCUGGGGAGUACGGCCGCAAGGCUAAAACUCAAAGGAAUUGACGGGGCCCCGCACAAGCGGCGGAGCAUGCGGAUUAAUUCGAUGCAACGCGUAGAACCUUACCUGGGUUUGACAUGGAUCGGGAGUGCUCAGAGAUGGGUGUGCCUCUUUUGGGGUCGGUUCACAGGUGGUGCAUGGCUGUCGUCAGCUCGUGUCGUGAGAUGUUGGGUUAAGUCCCGCAACGAGCGCAACCCUUGUUCACUGUUGCCAGCACGUUAUGGUGGGGACUCAGUGGAGACCGCCGGGGUCAACUCGGAGGAAGGUGGGGAUGACGUCAAGUCAUCAUGCCCCUUAUGUCCAGGGCUUCACGCAUGCUACAAUGGCUGGUACAGAGAGUGGCGAGCCUGUGAGGGUGAGCGAAUCUCGGAAAGCCGGUCUCAGUUCGGAUUGGGGUCUGCAACUCGACCUCAUGAAGUCGGAGUCGCUAGUAAUCGCAGAUCAGCAACGCUGCGGUGAAUACGUUCCCGGG